CGAGUCAGCUAAGCAGUCGCUGUAUCGCUUGCGGUAUAGAGGAAAGUCCGGGCUUCACAGAACAAAGCGCCAGAUAACGUCUGGACAGUGUGAACUGAUGGAAAGUGCCACAGAAAAUAAACCGCCGUUGUCAGUGCGUAAGUACUAACGACGGUAAGGGUGAAAUGGGGCGGUAAGAGCGCACCGCAUUGCUGGUAACAGUGAUGGCAGGGUAAACCCCGCUUGAAGCAAGACCAAAUAGGAAUCCUAGUGGCUUUGGCUACACAUGUUGUUCGCAUGAGGAUUCGGGUAGGUUGCUCGAGAUUAAUGGCGACAUUAAUCCCAGAUAGAUGACUGUUUUAAACAGAACCCGGCUUAUCGGCUGACUCAAAUU
rnacentral:RNase_P_RNA from 2 species